rnacentral:lncRNA from 10 species
GAAUUCCCACAUGUUGUGGGAGGGACCUGGUGGGAGGUAAUUGAAUCAUGGGGGCAGGUCUUUCCAUGCUGUUCUCAUGAUAGUGAAUAAGUCUCACAAGAUCUGAAGGUUAUAUAAGGGGGAGUUUCCCUGCAUAAGCUCUCUCUUUGCCUGCUGCCAUUUAUGUAAGAUGUGACUUGCUCCUCCUUGCCUUCCACCAUGAUUGUGAGGCCUCCACAGCCGCAUGAAACUAUGCUCGUGUCAAAGAGAAGAGCUACAAGACUGUUUCUGCCCCCAAGGUGCUCCAGUCCAUUGGAGAAGCAAACACAUAACUGAGAAUGACUCACCUUGUGAUGGCUGCUAUGAUGAGGUUCAUACCUGGUGCUACAGGACACAGAGAGGCAUAAUAAUGUGGUCACACUAAUGCAAGAAGUAGAUUCCCAUGGUCUUGGGCACUCUGCCCCUGUGGCUUUGCAGGGUACAGCCUCCCUUCUGUCUGAUUUCACAGGCCGGCAUUGAAUGUCUGUGACUUUUCCAGGUGGAGUCUUGCUCUGUCACCCAGGUUGGAGUGCAGUGGCACGAUCUUGGCUCACUGCAACCUCCACCUCCUUGGUUCAAGUGAUUCUACUGCCUCAGCCUCCCAAGUAGCUGGGAUUACAGGCAUGCACCACCAGGCCUGGCUAAUUUUUGUAUUUUUAGUAGAGAUGGGGUUUCACCAUGUUGGCCAGGCUGCUCUUGAACUCCUGACCUCAGGUGAUCUGCCUGCCUCUGCCUCCCAAAGUAUUGGGAUUACAGGCGUGAGCCACUGUGGCCAGGCCGAACUACCUUUUUCAUAUUACAUAAGAUACAGUCUUAGAUCUGACUGUUCAUUAGGCACAAUGCCUAGAACAGUGGUCCUCAACCUUUUGGCACCAGGGACUGGUUUCAUGGAGAACAAUUUUUCCAUGGACCAGGGUGGGGGAUGGUUUUGGG